UGGUUUAUUUUGUAAUGGUAUUGUAUAACCAUAUUAUAUUGUCAUUGCAGAUCCUGAACUAUAGCCACCUGAUCUAAGGCCAAAGCUACCUUGACCCUGUAAAAAGCCACCUGGUCUGUAAGGUUGCCAGCUCAACACAGUACAAGGUCAAAGAAGCCUGCAACAUUCAGUUAAAUGUUGCCUUAAUCUAUAUGUUGUAAAAAGAAUCUGAAACUUUUGUCAAGAUUUCUCUGUUCACUUGUAUCGAACCUCAACUUUUUUCAUUUGUUACGUAACAUUUUCAGCAGCAAACUGGUGAUUUAGGUACUGUUUUUGUAUGAAGAUAUUUUAGUAGGUUUGAUUUAGGUGCUAUUUUUGUUCUCUGCAGCUAACUGGUGAAACUUCAGGAGAAGUGAAAGAACUGGCUGAUACGCAGCAGCAGAGAUGGCUAUGCAUCGAGAUGCUUUUAUUGCUUUGUCAGCAGGUGCUGAUUCUUGGACUGCUUUCAUUGACGCAUUUUGGCUUUGCUAUUGUGAAGCAACUCACCUGCUCGGAAAAGCAACCGGUCCUGAUUACUUUUGUUCCGAAAAACAAGAACCUGGAUUACCU